rnacentral:rRNA from 1 species
AACGAACGCUGGCGGCAUGCCUAACACAUGCAAGUCGAACGAGACCUUCGGGUCUAGUGGCGCACGGGUGCGUAACGCGUGGGAACCUGCCCUUAGGUUCGGAAUAACUCCCCGAAAGGGGUGCUAAUACCGGAUAAUGUCUUCGGACCAAAGAUUUAUCGCCUUUGGAUGGGCCCGCGUUGGAUUAGCUAGUUGGUAGGGUAAAAGCCUACCAAGGCGACGAUCCAUAGCUGGCCUGAGAGGAUGACCAGCCACACUGGGACUGAGACACGGCCCAGACUCCUACGGGAGGCAGCAGUGGGGAAUAUUGGACAAUGGGCGAAAGCCUGAUCCAGCAAUGCCGCGUGAGUGAUGAAGGCCUUAGGGUUGUAAAGCUCUUUUUCCCGGGAUGAUAAUGACAGUACCGGGAGAAUAAGCUCCGGCUAACUCCGU